rnacentral:tRNA from 1 species
GGGGGUGUAGUUGAGUUGGUUACAACGCCGCCCUGUCACGGCGGAGGCCGCGGGUUCGAGUCCCGUCACUCCCGCCA